UAACACAUGCAAGUCGAACGGUAACAGGAAGAAGCUUGCUUCUUUGCUGACGAGUGGCGGACGGGUGAGUAAUGUCUGGGAAACUGCCUGAUGGAGGGGGAUAACUACUGGAAACGGUAGCUAAUACCGCAUAACGUCGCAAGACCAAAGAGGGGGACCUUCGGGCCUCUUGCCAUCGGAUGUGCCCAGAUGGGAUUAGCUUGUUGGUGGGGUAACGGCUCACCAAGGCGACGAUCCCUAGCUGGUCUGAGAGGAUGACCAGCCACACUGGAACUGAGACACGGUCCAGACUCCUACGGGAGGCAGCAGUGGGGAAUAUUGCACAAUGGGCGCAAGCCUGAUGCAGCCAUGCCGCGUGUAUGAAGAAGGCCUUCGGGUUGUAAAGUACUUUCAGCGGGGAGGAAGGGAGUAAAGUUAAUACCUUUGCUCAUUGACGUUACCCGCAGAAGAAGCACCGGCUAACUCCGUGCCAGCAGCCGCGGUAAUACGGAGGGUGCAAGCGUUAAUCGGAAUUACUGGGCGUAAAGCGCACGCAGGCGGUUUGUUAAGUCAGAUGUGAAAUCCCCGGGCUCAACCUGGGAACUGCAUCUGAUACUGGCAAGCUUGAGUCUCGUAG
rnacentral:rRNA from 1 species